rnacentral:rRNA from 1 species
CGGGAGGGUGCAAGCGUUUGUUCGGAAUCAUUGGGCGUAAAGCGCGUGUAGGCGGCUUGGCAAGUACAGUUGUGAAAGCCCCGGGGCCCAACCCCGGAACUGCAUCUGAAACUGCCUAGCUAGAGUCCCGGAGAGGAAGGCAGAAUUCCCGGUGUAGGGGUGAAAUCCGUAGAUAUCGGGAGGAAUACCAGCGGCGAAGGCGGCCUUCUGGACGGUGACUGACGCUGAGACGCGAAAGCGUGGGGAGCAAACAGGAUUAGAUACCCUGGUAGUCCACGCCGUAAACGUUGAGUGCUAGGUGUCGCGGGUAUUGACCCCCGCGGUGCCGUCGUUAACGCAUUUAGCACUCCGCCUGGGGAGUACGGUCGCAAGGCUA